UACGAAGGGGGCUAGCGUUGUUCGGAGUUACUGGGCGUAAAGGGUGCGUAGGCGGUUGUUUAAGUUUGGUGUGAAAUCUCCCGGCUCAACUGGGAGGGUGCGCCGAAUACUGAAUGACUAGAGUGCGGGAGAGGAGAGUGGAAUUCCUGGUGUAGCGGUGAAAUGCGUAGAUAUCAGGAGGAACACCGGUGGUGUAGACGGCUCUCUGGACCGUAACUGACGCUGAGGCACGAAAGCGUGGGUAGCAAACAGG
rnacentral:rRNA from 1 species